rnacentral:rRNA from 1 species
UGGGGAAUCUUCCGCAAUGGACGAAAGUCUGACGGAGCAACGCCGCGUGAGUGAAGACGGCCUUCGGGUUGUAAAGCUCUGUGAUCCGGGACGAAAGAGCCUGAGGUAAAUAGCCUAAGGAAGUGACGGUACCGGAAAAGCAAGCCACGGCUAACUACGUGCCAGCAGCCGCGGUAAUACGUAGGUGGCAAGCGUUGUCCGGAAUUAUUGGGCGUAAAGCGCGCGCAGGCGGCUUACUAAGUCCAUCUUAAAAGUGCGGGGCUUAACCCCGUGAUGGGAUGGAAACUGGAAAGCUGUAGUAUCGGAGAGGAAAGUGGAAUUCCUAGUGUAGCGGUGAAAUGCGUAGAGAUUAGGAAGAACACCGGUGGCGAAGGCGACUUUCUGGACGAAAACUGACGCUGAGGCGCGAAAGCGUGGGGAGCAAACAGG